CACUACCUCCUGUGCUCGUCUCCCACCACGUACUUCUCUCGGAGGAAAGUAGUUGAAGAGACCACAGGUACCGACAGGAAGUACUAGCAUCGCGACUAACGUGCACGCAGCGCCGAGUAUAGGUCCGACGACGUUGUCCGGAUUUAUUGGGCGUAAAGCGAGCGCAGGCGGUUAGAUAAGUCUGAAGUUAAAGGCUGUGGCUUAACCAUAGUACGCUUUGGAAACUGUUUAACUUGAGUGCAGAAGGGGAGAGUGGAAUUCCAUGUGUAGCGGUGAAAUGCGUAGAUAUAUGGAGGAACACCGGUGGCGAAAGCGGCUCUCUGGUCUGUAACU
rnacentral:rRNA from 1 species